GGAAAAGGAGCGAGAUCUGGAGGAGAGGGAGAUACUGGCUGAGCUCUCCAGUCCUCCUGCCUUACAGUGGAAGCCUGGUGCAGGUAAGGGCCGCGGGAAGAGAAAGAAGGGAGUGUCUCCUGUCCACCCACCACUUCUCCUCAUUCAGGACCCUCAGCACUGAACCGUCUACAGGAGCGGGUUUCAUCUCUCCUGCUUCGUUCCAGAUCCCCCUAUCCACCAACACCAACCCUAUCCCCCUCCGCCCUUCCUCUUCAUCCUCACGCCCCCCUCUGGGACAAAAGUGCUCUUCACGGAGGAGGACCAGAUUCAGUUUCAGAGUUCUACACCUCUGAACUAAGCAACUUCAUACAGCCAUGGGUUGCACCGGAGAGGGAAAAGGUCAAAUCUCUUGAAUUAACUCCAAACAAGAAACCUCAAGCUGUGACCUUAGAGGCUGAUUCAGUCCUGGAAAAGCUUUCAGAUCAGAGCCCAGCAAAACACCAAACUACCCGACCUCCCACCCCCUGUUCGGGUACACCAGGCUCCCAGGCUCUGCAGGACCUGAUUGAGCUUGCAGAGGA
rnacentral:lncRNA from 1 species